GGCGUCCCCCGUCCCGUGGGGGCAAGUACCCGAGGCCGCCCCCGGACAGGCGGCUGGGCCCGUAGCGUGACCCGUCCACGGUAACUCGAAGGGGGCAAAGUUGUUUCCCAACAUGGUGUUCUUACGUCCUUGUCAAAGACUCCAGAAGGGGUCGUCCGGGAACACGGAAGAGAAAUUACAUAGAAAAGUUGGAAGUGCUGAGGGCGAAAAGGUGUUUUCCCCAUGUGGAAGGUUUUUAAACCUUCCAGAGAGCCUCUCCCGUGUUCAGUGUGAGCGGCCUUCCCUCUGCCCCUCUGGUGGGAGUUAAUUUCUCGGACGAAGAGGAAAUGCACCGGUCCGCGGAGCUCACAGAGACCGCAGACUGCGGAGAAAGCGAGAUAACCUUGCCCUCAAGGCACUUAGACUCCUGCCGGGCGCAAUGCCGUGUCGUGGCCAGAGCCCUACGCUAGGAUUUGCAGUGGUUUAAAUCAGUCUGACUACUCAUUGACUGUCAUCUUAGAAAAGUCAGGUGCAGGAGAGAACAGUUUUCCAGGCAGAGGAUGGUGUGCGAAGACAGACUUGAAAGAGGGCAUGUAGUUGGCCCCCAUGAGCGCUUCUGACGACAGUGGAUUCUCAAGGAGAGGGCAGGAGGUGAGGCACCAACAGUUGAAGGGCAUCUUCUCAAGAGGUGAGUUUUGUCCCAGAUGUGACGUGGGAGUCACUGAAAGUGUUUAAGCGGAGGGGCGCCGCGAUCAGUCCAGUGUUUUAGACUGAGUUCCACUGACAGCUUUGCAGAUAAACUGGAAGGAGAGAGGACUGAACACAGAACCACCAGUUAAGGGAGCAUUUAUAAUAUCUUAAAUGAACGAUGAAGAAAGCCAGAAUGAGGCAGUGGCAUUAUGGAAAGAGGUAAAGGUAUGUCAAGGAUAAUUUCAAUUUCUUGCUUGGCAUGUGGUCUCUCCACAUGGGGAGACAUACCGCAGGCAGAUAACAGAUAGUGCUGGCUUUCUAACUAUAGUCUGAUCAAUCUUGUAUGCUCAAGAAAAGAACCAUAAGUAUCCUAGGGUUUUGGGACUAGAGGCAUUUUCUUAUUAAUGAGGAAAGUGAGGCCUUUUGAAGUUAAAUAACUUGCCUAAUAAUCCAGUGGCUGGCUGAGCCAGUGUGAGAUUCCACCACAUAUUCAGUCAACAUUUAAAGAUAUUCAUUACAUGCUACUGUGUUGCAGCGACAGUGUUGAGUGCUGGUGACAAAAACUGAUUUAUUCCUUGCUCUCACAGAGCUUUGUACACCCUGGUAGAGGAAGCAGAUGUUAGUCAUACAUAUUAUUACACAAAUAUAAACUGUCAAAGGUCUCGAGUGGCUAGGGCAUCUAACCUAGUCUGAGAAAGCUUUUCAGUGAGAGUAGUGCCUGAACUAAAUCCAAAGGAUGAAAAGAAUUGAAUCAAGAGAAAAGGAGGAGGGACAAGCAUUCUAAGCAGAGGAACGGCAUGUGCAAAGUUCCAUUGGUAGGAAGAAGUAUGACUGCAUGAAAGACAGGGUGACUGGGGCAGAGCUCGAGGGACAGUGUUGUUUGAGAUGAUUUUAGGAGGUAAGCAGAUCUUGUUUGAUAGCACAGGAAUCUACUCUGACCAAAAAACUCUGACAGGUGCCAGACUACUGUUAGAUGAGCUUUAUGCCAGUCACACUGCCUAAAUCGAUGCUGACAGUUGUGUUUUAUUACAGAUGGAUAUUAUAUGUGAAUGAAAGAAUUUUCUUGAACCUUAGAAGUUUCUGAAUACAUACCUACCUAGGGAAGAAAAAUACAAGAGGAAAAACGUCGAUAGCUGUGAAUCGAAGAAGAAUCCAUGCAAAGCUGAAAGUGGUCAGCUGUCAUCAUCUCAACUAGGGAAAAACUCAUCAAUCAAACCCAUCAAAGAAGAGCUGUCAUUUUAUAACUCAAGAAAGGGAUUAUUUUCCACUUAAACGUCAGCCAAAGAAAGAAAAAGAGCCAAGAUUGAGAAUGAUGGCAAUUUCAAAGACAUCUCCAUGUCUACAGAUGGAUUUGGAGGCAUCCACUGGAUUGCUCCCCGGGAGAGGAGAGAAAAAGACAAAUGGCAGUGAUUCUGAUGAAAACCUUGUGAAAAGCGCGGAUGGAGGGUCAACACCACGAACCGAUAGCUACUCAGGAAAUGAAUCUACAGAGCGAACUUCUUUUCUAGCUCAUUUUUCAAGAGCGAGCUAUGGGGAACCAGGAGGAGAUACAUAGCAGAUGGGAAGGCAGACUUAUUAUCACAAUUUUAUGGACGAGGAAAGGACAGCGCAGAGAGGAAAGGUGACUCGCCCAAGGUCGCAUCGCUGGUCUGAAGUUGGUGAUGCAAGUCGGAGCUGAGGCCGAGGAGGGGAGCGUAGACACGGCAGCAGCUACCCAUGGAAAUGGCACAGGCCCCAACUAUUGGGACCCAAACUGGUCACGAACUUGGUUACAAGUGGACUUGUACUUGGCAGUACAUUGAUUAAACAAGCAGAUGAGAAUGUGGUUUUGUACUUUCCAAUCAGCACAACCACCAUCACAUUCCCAGGUGCCAGGUGAAAGUCUCUGUCAUAUUGCAUAAUUCUUUACCAAAUGUAUCAUUUCAUUUAAUCCUCACAACAGCUCUGUGGAAGUAAGUUCUAUGAGGAUUUCACAGAUGAUAAAACCGAGACUCAAGAAAGUUUAGGUAACUUGCCCAAGGUCAUAGAGCUAGUCAGU